UGUGCAUCUCCUCCAGCCCAACCAAAAACCUGAGCUGACCCAAAGCCCUAGAAAUUCCAUCACACACCAUGCCGUCUAGCCCAGCCCACCCCCACCAAUUCAAACCCAUCUUCUUUCGUGUGACCCCUCAAAAACGAAAAAUCUUCUUUUCUGUAAAAAAAAAUAUAUCCCAUCCUCCUGCCCCCAUCUCCGGGCACUGACGGCGCCGGCGGCGCUAGGUGACCAGAGCCAGCUGCCAGCUGCCGACGCUUCUCCCUGUUCGCGCCCUUCGUCCCACGAGGUAUGGUCCUAAUUCUGGGUGGCUACACCCGUACAGAUAUGAGAAAUCGCCAUAGGUUUUCUCCCCUCUGCGUGGUUUGCGCAAACAGUUGGUUGCUGAAGAACUCGUUGCGAUUCAGGGUAGAUAAUGGCCACUUCGCUUGUCUGAUUUUUUUGUUCUUCUAUCCGGCUGUUGCAAAUCUCAGUCCGAUUUAUUUAUGUAAAUAUAUGGUGCCUGAAGAUUCAGUCAUAUCCGAGCCUGACUGAAAUGUCUGAACCACUAAGGGCUACAGUAUUCGAUGCUAGUAGCAUACUAUAGUAUGGAUAAGCAUUUGCACUCCUAUGAAGAUGUUAGAUGCUGUAUUAUGCUAUGUAACUUGUGAUUUACCAUAUUAUCCUUGGGUGAAGCAAUCAAGCAAUUUUCUUUACGGGCUUCCAUAUGUUCUGACAUGGUAGACUUGGUUUCAGGAGACAAGUACUUACCCCAAGCUAUUUAUAGUUCGAAUUCAUCUAUUUGGCUAUUGAGAUUCACACCUAAUCAAUGUCAAGUAAUUUUUCAACAUAUGGUUUACAUCGUAGUGAUUUGGUAUAUGCAAUAAUUCCAUCAUGUUAGAAAUGAAAGAUAGUCUAUCGCAAUUUCUUUCCUUCAGGUUCAGGAUUACGAGCGUAACCUCGGUAUCUAGAUGCAGACGUUCCUCUGAAUUAUCCAGCAAUGCUCCUUUUUCCUUAGAGUAGACAGAAUAGUCACAUUGUUAUAGAAGGUACUAUUGAACAUUUGAGCAAGAAGAUGUCAUCGCUGAAUAUGGCAGUUUCCAACACUUCUAUUUUUCUUCUUCAACAAGGUCGGGCUAUAACAAACUGCAAUAAGCGAUUAUUUCAGAAGCUCUGAAUACAAAGGAUCUUGUUUGUAUUGCAUAGAAUGGGACCAAGUAUCUGCUCUGGUGUGGCUAGCUGAGUACGUGUGCUCGCAGCCCUCCUUCCUGUGUUCGAGGCACACCCUUCUCAGGGUGCCUGCUCAGGUUCUUCUUCAUCUUCAAGAAAUGCCGCUCAGAGAUAGUCUGGUUGGUCUAGCAUUGCAUAAAACCUAACGAGAUUCGAAACAAAGCUAAUCAUUAGUUGGUUGGAGUAAAUUCAUAGAGAUGACAUAUUAUAUUCAAUGUUCAGGAUAUCGGUAACUGGUACCAUAUCGGCCGGGAGCUGAUAAGGGAUUAAUCGGCGAAUUGGCCAUUUAACUGAAUAUAUCUGUAACCCAUUUAUCGGUAGUUUAACUAGGGCCAUAUCUGUAUAUCCUAGGCUACAUAGCAACAUGCAUGCAUUGUACUGAAUGUCUAAAUAUGCAAUCCUAGGCUACAUAGCAACAAGGAAGAGUGUUACCUUGAUGUUCUGAUGAUGUCUAGAUCUACAUAGAAGAGCAGCAGCAACAACAACAACACAGCAGCAGUAAGUGUACAUCACUACCUAACAUCAAAGGAGAGCAGCACAGCAACAGUACUACUUGUACAUCGCAUAAGAGAGCAGCACAGCAGCAGCAGUAAUAGUACAUCAGCAUUUACAGAACAACACAACAUAAGGAGAGUAGUGCUUCUGUUCUUGGCAUAGGAGAGCAGUUUUGGGCCAAAAAAUGCUUCCCAGUUAAUCGGCCCAGCCGAUAAUUCGGCCUGACAGCCAACUGAUUAUAGGCUUUUCAGACUGAUUAACUGGCUCUCCCAGUUAAUGGACUUGAAUAACACUUUCUCGUGUCGGGGGGGGGGGGGGUCCGAAUAGCAGUUAACUGGCCGAUAUUUGGAACAUUGAUUAUGUUUACUCUUUGAGAGCCCAAGUCAUAUUAAUUUACCCUAUAUCAAUGCUGAGCAUAGAACUUCAACUUUCCCUUAUGCUGCUUGAUGUUUGCUAAUGGGUCGCAGCAUGCAUAUUUUCAUCGUUGGUUGCUUCACUUCUGUAAUUGUUGAUGAAUUUGUGCAUGACUCUACCCCUACAUAACUAAUUCACACAUGUACAAAGCCUGGCAAUGAACUAUCCAGCAGAGAUCCAAGUGGUCACAUUCAAUAGCACUUUUGGAGUUUUGGUCUUGCCAAUAAAGAAUUUCUUUGGUUUCUUUUCUUUUGAAAUUGAACAAUACACAGCUGCGUUGCAUGCAGCAUGCUUGCUGAAAAUAUAUUCGUAUAACAGUUAAACCUCCUGCUCUUAAAGUUGUUUGCAUAGUUGAUAUACUGAAAAUUUUCUAAAUGGAAAAUGGUCACUUGAUCAUGGUUUUCAUUUUAAGUUUAUCUUGGCAAUAUUAUUUGAAUGUAGUUCAAAAACUUAAAUAGCCCAAUGGUUUGGCCUACUGCAAAUUGGCAGCUUUUUCCUGGUACGGGGUCAAAGGUGGAACCUUUCUAUUCAAGCACUGAGGUACAUAACACUGUAUCUUCCAUCAGGACAGUCAAUCAGCGCUAUCAUGAAUGUUAUGGUCCUUUGCAUAAAUGAGGCAAAUGCUGAAGCACUUUUUGUUGGCAGGUGGAAAGGAUUCAUGAACCAUGAUGCCAGAAUUAUCUUACGGCUGAUUCUUAACCUUUCUUUUCCUGUUACUGUAUGUUACAGGUAAAUACCUCAGUGUCCAAGUUGCUGCAGUCUGUAACGCUGAAUGUUCUACUGCAUAUGGUUUUUAUAUUUAGACGAACUUGAUUUACCUGAAACUGAUUUCUAUUUCCUAGACAUUUUAAACUUAGCUAUGGAAUCUGUAGGUCUGUUGUUUGCUUGUCCUAUCAAGGUAAUUUAAUAAGCUAACAAAAUAAUUGAGCGGCUCUGCUUUUGAGUGCAUAUGUCACUGUUUUAUUUAUCACGAACUUAUAUGCUGUUCCAUUUUUCACACAAGACUAUACUUGACCAUUGGCCCGUUGCAUCCUUUCUUCACUUGGUCAAAGGUUGAUUUGAAAGAAAAGAAAGGCUAUGGCAGCUGAACAGUGAUCUAUGAGCACACUCCUACUGAUGGUCGGUAAUUUGAUGCUGCUUCCUGUGAUUCAUUUAAUAUUCGGGCUAGUUGCUAGCUCUGAUUAUAUGCUUUCCAUCUCCCUUGCCCACUUUUCUGCCUAGUUUCCACCAUAAAAUAUCAUCCAGUGACUGGGCUGCAAAUAUAUCUUUAAGACAUAUAUAGUUUUUUGUUAAGGUGAUAUGAUGACAGGGAGUUUGUAUCUACAACUAAAAUUUGAAUUAGUCAAGCAUAUUUACUGAAGCAAAGUUACACCACGUAAAGCAUGGUAUCGUGUGUUCUUAGUCGCAUCAGUGCGAGGGAAAGGAUGUCUCUAACACUCAUUCUCUUCUGUGGUUGGGUAGUUAAGAGGAAAAGGCAAAAGCUUCCGGUGUCUAAUCUCUUUCGACAUGUGCUGGCAUUCCAACGAAACAUAAGCCAGUAUCAUGGUAUUUCCAAUAGGUUGCAUUGCGUCUGAGACCGAGUUCUCAAUGGACGAAGCCUGCCUAGGACAAGAAUGCACAUGUUUCUUCUUGUUGUUCCAUGUGAUCUCUGCACUUGUUCUGAAGAAAGGUGAUGUGAUUGCUUUGUGAACUACCUAAGCCUAAUCCCAGAUGCAAAGAAGGGAGUUGGCAUGGUUCUUCCCUUGAAUGAUUAUCUUUGUCAGCUCAGAAUAUUCCUGCAGGUUUUCACUACUUCCAAAUGUUACUCCACAGCACACACUAUUGCAGCUUUGAAAUUUGUUUUUCUCCAUGAUGUUAUUUCUCUUGGUGUUAUGUUCUCCUGUCUCAAGAUCUGAACUUUGGGAUGGAAAGCACAAAAUAAUAGGCUUCACAUGUCCCUAUCAGAUGAAUCUUUAUACCCUUUGUUUGUCAAGUUGAGAUUCCUUCAUAUGUUUUGCAUUACUAUAAGAUUUCACAUAUUAAAAUAGGCAUGCUAUCCUUGCAAAACUAUUGAAUAUCAUUAAAUUGAGGGUUUGUAUUUUUUGUCUGACAGAUGUUUUAAAUCCUUGCUUUUGAAGUAGAUGCAGCACGUAAGAAAGGUGAAGGCGUGAUGACCUUGGACCCCACUCAAAUAGGGACCAUCCAUAGCCUACAUGUAAUAGCAUGUUUGGGCUGCCCUGCAAUGUCUGAAUGCUUCUGGACAUCCUAUACCGUUAUUCUUCCAUUCUGAGUCGCUAAUCCGUAGGGGGAUGGGGUAGAGCAACAGGUGCCUGGUGGCCAGAGAAUGAGCAAAUGAAACCAACACCCUGCCUUCUUAGAUAUCUAGGCUGGCAUGCAAAUGCUGAUGAUAUCCUUUCGACCGAAGGGGCCUACUCCUUUGGGAUCCUUAAGAUUCAAGUAUCCUUAACUGGUCACCCCAAUUAUAUGAAACGAAGAAAAGGAGAGGGAAAGAACACACAACACACACCCGGAGAACGAGGUAGGGCAGAAUGGUAGGACUCUCAUCUAAGGUUUGCCUUAAUGGCCCAAGAAUUGCCCACCACUGCUAAUGUGAGGUGGAGUUUGCUGGACCAUCAAUUGAGCCAGCCCAAUUAGGUCUCCACAUGCAUGAGUGGGUGAUCAUGUGUCAAGUUUAUGCAGGUUAGCAUGCACUUUGUCCGUCGGAAACGAUGUAUCAUUAGGCGAAGGAGGGGAAGGAGGUUGUCUAUAAAUAUGCAGUGCGAUGGAUAGGGGUUGGUUUGUGCUGAAAACAAGCUAGCUGGGAGCAUAGUGGAAGAAGAGAGAGGCCACCUCGUGAUGAAGAGGCUGGUGGUCUGAGGAGGUGCGAGCCGAUCGUGCGGUUCAGCUGCUGCGGUGUGCGGUAUGGCGAGUGCCGCCGCAACCACGCCGCCAGCACGGGGGGCUAUGCCGUGGACGGUUGCCGGGAGUUCAUCGCCGAGGGCGAGGAGGGCACCUUCGGCGCGCUCAAGUGCUCGGGCCUGCGGCUGCCACCGCAGCUUCCACCACAGGGUGCAGGUCUACGAGGUUGCAUGGGACUGCGAGUCCGAUACGUCGUCAUCGUCUUCAAGCAGCAGCUAGGCUGCUGCCGCUGCCAUUCCUCUCCAUCGUCAAGCUGCUGCUUCUGCUGCUGUUGCAUCAUGUCUA